AUACUUACCUGGCAGGGGAGAUACCAUGAUCACGAAGGUGGUUUUCCCAGGGCGAGGCUUAUCCAUUGCACUCCGGAUGUGCUGACC
rnacentral:snRNA from 1 species